rnacentral:rRNA from 1 species
CUAAGUAUAAGCAAUUUAUACAGUGAAACUGCGAAUGGCUCAUUAAAUCAGUUAUCGUUUAUUUGAUAGUACCUUACUACUUGGAUAACCGUGGUAAUUCUAGAGCUAAUACAUGCUUAAAAUCCCGACUGUUUGGAAGGGAUGUAUUUAUUAGAUAAAAAAUCAAUGUCUUCGGACUCUUUGAUGAUUCAUAAUAACUUUUCGAAUCGCAUGGCCUUGUGCUGGCGAUGGUUCAUUCAAAUUUCUGCCCUAUCAACUUUCGAUGGUAGGAUAGUGGCCUACCAUGGUUUCAACGGGUAACGGGGAAUAAGGGUUCGAUUCCGGAGAGGGAGCCUGAGAAACGGCUACCACAUCCAAGGAAGGCAGCAGGCGCGCAAAUUACCCAAUCCCGACACGGGGAGGUAGUGACAAUAAAUAACGAUACAGGGCCCUUUCGGGUCUUGUAAUUGGAAUGAGUACAAUGUAAAUACCUUAACGAGGAACAAUUGGAGGGCAAGUCUGGUGCCAGCAGCCGCGGUAAUUCCAGCUCCAAAAGCGUAUAUUAAAGUUGUUGCAGUUAAAAAGCUCGUAGUUGAACCUUGGGCUUGGUUGGCCGGUCCAUCUUUCUGAUGCGUACUGGACCCAACCGAGCCUUUCCUUCUGGCUAGCCUUUUGGCGAACCAGGACUUUUACUUUGAAAAAAUUAGAGUGUUCAAAGCAGGCCUUUGCUCGAAUAUAUU